rnacentral:rRNA from 1 species
GACGAACGCUGGCGGCGUGCUUAACACAUGCAAGUCGAACGGAAAGGCCCUGCUUUUGUGGGGUGCUCGAGUGGCGAACGGGUGAGUAACACGUGAGUAACCUGCCCUUGACUUUGGGAUAACUUCAGGAAACUGGGGCUAAUACCGGAUAGGAGCUCCUGCUGCAUGGUGGGGGUUGGAAAGUUUCGGCGGUUGGGAUGGACUCGCGGCUUAUCAGCUUGUUGGUGGGGUAGUGGUUUACCAAGGCUUUGACGGGUAGCCGACCUGAGAGGGUGACCGGCCACAUUGGGACUGAGAUACGGCCCAGACUCCUACGGGAGGCAGCAGUGGGGAAUAUUGCACAAUGGGCGGAAGCCUGAUGCAGCAACGCCGCGUGCGGGAUGACGGCCUUCGGGUUGUAAACCGCUUUCGCCUGUGACGAAGCGUGAGUGACGGUAAUGGGUAAAGAAGCACCGGCUAACUACGUG